AUCGAACGCUGGCGGCAGGCCUAACACGUGCAAGUCGAGCGAGGACUUCGGUCCUAGCGGCGGACGGGUGAGUAACGCGUGGGAACGUGCCCUUUGCUACGGAAUAGCCCCGGGAAACUGGGAGUAAUACCGUAUGUGCCCGAGAGGGGAAAGAUUUAUCGGCAAAGGAUCGGCCCGCGUUGGAUUAGGUAGUUGGUGGGGUAAUGGCCUACCAAGCCGACGAUCCAUAGCUGGUUUGAGAGGAUGAUCAGCCACACUGGGACUGAGACACGGCCCAGACUCCUACGGGAGGCAGCAGUGGGGAAUCUUAGACAAUGGGGGAAACCCUGAUCUAGCCAUGCCGCGUGAGCGAUGAAGGCCUUAGGGUUGUAAAGCUCUUUCAGUGGGGAAGAUAAUGACGGUACCCACAGAAGAAGCCCCGGCUAACUCCGUGCCAGCCGCCGCUGUAAAAC
rnacentral:rRNA from 1 species